rnacentral:rRNA from 1 species
GAUGAACGCUGGCGGCGUGCUUAACACAUGCAAGUCGAACGAAGCACUUUAUUUGAUUUCCUUCGGGACUGAUUAUUUUGUGACUGAGUGGCGGACGGGUGAGUAACGCGUGGGUAACCUGCCUUGUACAGGGGGAUAACAGUUGGAAACGGCUGCUAAUACCGCAUAAGCGCACGGCAUCGCAUGAUGCAGUGUGAAAAACUCCGGUGGUAUAAGAUGGACCCGCGUUGGAUUAGCUAGUUGGUGAGGUAACGGCCCACCAAGGCGACGAUCCAUAGCCGAGCUGAGAGGGUGACCGGCCACAUUGGGACUGAGACACGGCCCAGACUCCUACGGGAGGCAGCAGUGGGGAAUAUUGCACAAUGGGCGAAAGCCUGAUGCAGCGACGCCGCGUGAGCGAAGAAGUAUUUCGGUAUGUAAAGCUCUAUCAGCAGGGAAGAUAAUGACGGUACCUGAAGAAGAAGCACCGGCUAAAUACGUG